GGUAAGGUGACUGAGUUCUAAGUGGUGGGUUGUAGCCCCAUAGAUAGAGGUUCGAGUCCUCUUCUUAUCA
rnacentral:tRNA from 1 species